rnacentral:rRNA from 1 species
UACGUAGGGUGCGAGCGUUGUCCGGAAUUAUUGGGCGUAAAGAGCUUGUAGGCGGCUUUGCAAGUUAGAGGUGAAAGCCCGGGGCUCAACUCCGGAAUUGCCUUUAAAACUGCAUCGCUAGAAUUGUGGAGAGGUAAGUGGAAUUCCGAGUGUAGAGGUGAAAUUCGUAGAUAUUCGGAAGAACACCAGUGGCGAAGGCGGCUCACUGGCCCGGUACUGACGCUGAGGCGCGAAAGCGUGGGGAGCAAACAGG